AGUUCAAAGAAGAUGUUACUUUAUGAUGAAAAAUAUCAGAAUAACUAUUAUUCAAUUGAUCAAUAAUUUAUAUAUAAGGAUGAACUCAAUCGUCACACAAUUGAUUUUAGGAUAUAAUUCCCAAUAGUUCUUCACUCUAGAAGAAGAUCACCUCCACUUUUGGCAUGUAGAAGAGUGGGAUGCCCAACCCUUGGGCAUGGGAAAGAGGGGAGGCA
rnacentral:lncRNA from 1 species